UGUGCAGUUGUGGACUCUGGAACCCC
rnacentral:piRNA from 1 species